rnacentral:misc_RNA from 1 species
UCUCCGUUGGUGAACCAGCGGAGGGAUCAUUAUCGAGUUUAUAACUCCCAAACCCUAUGUGAACUUACCACUUGUUGCUUCGGCGCGCGCUUCGGCGCCGCCGAGGACACUUAAACUCUUUGUUUUUAUGAGCAUUUCUGAGUGGCCGAAAGGCAAAAUACAAAUGAAUCAAAACUUUCAACAACGGAUCUCUUGGUUCUG